UUCGAAUUAUUAGCAUCAUUAAGAAGAUUUCAACUAUCACUUACAUCUCAGUAAUAAUUAAACUAAUAAUGUGGUGCAAUAUUGAAUGGAAAGGCUGCCUGUAAAGAGUAAUAUUGUAACAUAAAUAAAGUAAAAACCUAUGAACAAAGAAAGUGUACAAUUAUCUGUUUGAUGUCAUUCGUGGGUUGGAGGUUAGUUGUGGUGGCUUCAUCAUUUUAUCCACCACUGUUUCCAUGUAACUUAUAAGAAGCUCCUGCUUUCGUCCAAAACUCUCUAUGCCUAUACUCAUAGCAUCAACCUAUUUUCUGACCUCGGUCAUCUGAGAACACAACGACAAGAGUUGAUUAUGGGGAGCCAAAAAGUGUUUGGUGGUGAAAAAGGCUUCAGAUGUAUUUUCUUGGGAGCUCAUUUUAAGUAUGAAUCUUUUUUUUGUUAUUCUGUAG
rnacentral:lncRNA from 1 species